CGCCAUCUCAACCACAGCCCCGUUGCCGCUGCGCUGGCAGAGCAAGAAAGGGACAAGACGAUCGAGAUAGGGAGAGAGGAGCGGCCGGGGAGGAGGAUGGAGAAUGGACUCCAGGCAGAGCUUCCUUCGCUUCCUUGUCGUCGAUGAAUUCUUCGCCUUCGCUUCUAGGGUUUAGCGGGCUUUUCUCCGCUGGCGAUUGCUCCAAGACCAAGCUCGAACCCUCGUCGUUUGCGAUCGGUAGCGGAGUCGGCUCCCCUCUUGUCGAUUGCGAGCGGUAGCGGAGUCGGCCCUCCUCUGUUUCGCACUGGCGGGAAUCAAAGGCGCCGUCGCCUUCCUCCUCUUGUCGGCGCUUGCGCACCUCGUUGAUAUCUUCGAUUUCAAGACUAGGAGUCGGCGUCGGCGGAAGGGUUGGGGAGGCGGAAGCCGCCGGAGUGGAGGAAUCCUUCGGUGGGUCGUCCGCCUUUCCGGAUUGUGCUCCGCCGCCAUGGUAAUGGUGUUGUUAUCCCCCUCCUUCCAGUCCUCCCCUCCAGCCGAGGCCAUUCGGUCCUCCCAUUAUCUACGGUUUCCUGGCGGCGGGUACAAUCACCAGCUAGCCGCCGCCUCUAGCGAGACCAAAGGUUUCGCCUUCCGGCAAGCGCCCCGGUUUUACAAUGCCGCCGACUGUGAACCCCCGUCUGCUAACGGCAGCUCCGUCUGCGAUUCCUCGCUUGUCCAUGUCGCAAUCACCCUCGACGAGGAGUACCUGCGGGGCUCGAUCGCGGCGGUUCACUCUGUGCUGAUGCACGCCCAGUGCCCAGAGAGCGUCUUUUUCCAUUUCUUGGUUUCGGAGCUGGGCAUGGAGUCGGUGGUGCGCUCGGCCUUCCCAGGCCUCCGCUUCAAGGCGUAUUACUUCGAUCCAGACCGUGUCCGAUGGAUGAUUUCGACGUCGGUGCGGCAGGCCCUGGAUCAGCCACUCAACUACGCACGCAACUAUCUGGCGGAAAUUCUCGAGCUGUGCGUGAGCCGAGUGAUCUACCUAGACUCCGACCUAGUGGUGAUGGAUGACAUCGCCAAGCUGUGGCGGAAAGGGUUGGGAUCGAAGGCCGUUGGGGCGCCAGAGUACUGCCACGCCAACUUCACCAAGUACUUCACCGACCGGUUCUGGUCCAACAGGCGCCUGGCAGCCACAUUUGCGGGGCGCCGGCCUUGUUACUUCAACACUGGAGUGAUGGUGCUUGACCUUGUCCGAUGGCGGCGCGCGGGGUACACUCGACGGAUAGAACGGUGGAUGGAGGUACAGAAGAGGGGCGCAGCGCCCGGCGGAGCAGGGCGAAUCUAUGAGUUGGGGUCUCUUCCGCCCUUCCUUCUUGUAUUUGCAGGGCAAGUAGCCCCCAUCGAGCACAGGUGGAACCAGCACGGGCUCGGCGGGGACAACGUGAACGGUAGCUGUCGGGAUCUCCACCCAGGGCCGGUGAGCCUCCUUCACUGGAGCGGCAAGGGCAAGCCUUGGGUGCGGCUCGACUCAAACCAGCCCUGCCCGCUCGACCACAUCUGGGCGCCCUACGACCUCUACGGUUUUGCUGCCAAAUGACCAUUGCACAGCUUCUGCCCUGCCGCAUCUGUUUUCCGAAGAUUGAAGGGGAACAUCCUGUGAAGUGCCUCCAAAGAGCACUGUUUUCAGGCCCAUCGCUCUCUCUCUCUCGCAGCCUGCCUCUUCCCAACUGCCUUUUUAAUAAGUGCCAACCGCCAUCUUUCCAUCGAUGCCUGCAGAGCAGAAAAGACAGUUUAGUAGAAGAGUUGGAGAUGAAUACCAUACCCUUGGAUUAACUUUCCCAAAUCCAUUUUAUAUCCUGCCUUGAUUGGUUAGGCUUGGUUUAUGUGGAUUUUAUUCUCUCAUCUCUGUAUCUGAGGAGAAGAUUAGCAUCUUUCUCGGAGAUUGGAGACUCGAGCUCGUCCGGGGAGAAGAAGUCCAUAGAUUCCCUCACUGUAGGUGAUUUGAUAGAUGAGGUUGCUAGGCUGGCUGUGUCACUCUCGAAGCGGCAAAGCAUCUCCCCCAUGGACUGGUAGCCCCACUCCUCUUGUUCUUAAUGCCACGGAAGUCAUCAGCGUUGAGCAGUAUCUGGGGACCCAUAGCCUGUUUGAUCACCAUCGAAUACGAUAUGAGAAUGUUCUUCUAUAUGCAAAUUAAGGUGCCCUUGGGUUUAAGGGUCUUAUCUGAUAGACGUGCUUUUGUUUUUGGUUUCUUGGUAUGAUAAAAAUGGUCUUAAUCAUUUACUAGAA